rnacentral:lncRNA from 1 species
UGGGCUAGCGCGGUCGCGCUAAAGACCGCGUAUAUGGCCUGCCAUUCUGCCUUGAACUCCUGGGCUAGCGCGGUCGCGCUAGUGGGCGCACUAGUGGGAGUCCUCAUUUCAGCCCCUGUUUCUCUCUUCUUCCCACAUACUUAGCUCCGAGGCUCAAUUUAGCUCCAAUUACAGUUCUAAGUCCUCAUACACGCAACUCACUCCUGCAAAUCAUGCAAAUCACUAUUCGAGCCAAUUUAACAACUUUUAACUAUCCUAUAACAGUGAAACAUAGUUAAUCUGGGGCAUAAACAGUCACCAAAUUACAUGAAUCUAGCCUAUUAUCACCUACCUUCUACCUGUAUACUAUUAUCUUCCCCCUAAGACCCAUUAGUUUCAGACACACCCUCAUAACCACUAGCCAAACUUCCCUUAAUAGCUAUUGACAACAUAUUCUCUGUAACCUCUUUUCUUGAAACCACAAAAUAAAC